UUCUUAUAUCAUCCUGUUACACAUGUAACUGUAGAGCAUUUCAUCCAUGUUUAACUCACAGUCAUAACUAGAUUAAGUUAUUAUCCACUGUUAUAGAGAGAAGCAUACAGCUGAAAAAUAAAUUCAGUUUCUGCUGCUCUUUCCCUUAGGUUACUGUCUUAGAGAAAUGAAGUGAUUUUUGACUACAGUUCUUUUAAGAACAUCACUUAUUGUCAAACAGAAGUGAAAUUGGGAUUAUCCAUAGAACAUUUCUAUCUUGUAAUUUAUUUGGUAUUUUGUGAACAGCUGACUUUCCUAAUUAUAUUUGGCAUGGUCACUUGCUAAAAAU
rnacentral:lncRNA from 1 species